CCUACGGGUGGCAGCAGUGAGGAAUAUUGGUCAAUGGCCGAGAGGCUGAACCAGCCAAGUCGCGUGAGGGAAGACGGCCCUACGGGUUGUAAACCUCUUUUGUCGGGGAGCAAAGAGAGUCACGUGUGACGCAUUGAGAGUACCCGAAGAAAAAGCAUCGGCUAACCCCGUGCCAUCAGCCGCGGUAAUACGGAGGAUGCGAGCGUUAUCCGGAUUUAUUUGGUUAAAAGGGUGCGCAGGCGGAGGUGCAAGUCAGCGGUCAAAUUGCGGGGCUCAACCCCGUACUGCCGUUGAAACUGCAUCCCUUGAGUGCGCGAGAAGUAUGCGGAAUGCGUGGUGUAGCGGUGAAAUGCAUAGAUAUCACGCAGAACUCCGAUUGCGAAGGCAGCAUACCGGCGCCCAACUGACGCUCAUGCACGAAAGCGUGGGUAUCGAACAGGAUUAGAUACCCUUGUAGUC
rnacentral:rRNA from 1 species